GACGAACGCUGGCGGCGUGCCUAACACAUGCAAGUCGAACGAGGUCCAUGGGUGCUUGCACCCGGAAGACCUAGUGGCGAACGGGUGAGUAACACGUGAGAAACCUGCCCCAGACUCUGGGAUAACCCAAGGAAACUUGAGCUAAUACCGGAUAUUAUCCUUUGGUCGCAUGAACAGUUGAGGAAAGUUUUUCGGUCUGGGAGGGUCUCGCGUCCUAUCAGCUUGUUGGUGAGGUAACGGCUCACCAAGGCGACGACGGGUAGCUGGGUUGAGAGAACGCUCAGCCACACUGGAACUGAGACACGUACCAGACUCCUACGGGAGGCAGCAGUGGGGAAUCUUGCGCAAUGGGCGAAAGCCUGACGCAGCAACGCCGCGUGCGGGAUGAAGGCCUUCGGGUUGUAAACCGCUUUCAGCAGGGACGAAAAUGACGGUACCUGCAGAAGAAGCUCCGGCUAACUACGUGCCAGCCGCCGCCGUAA
rnacentral:rRNA from 1 species